rnacentral:misc_RNA from 1 species
AACGCACAUUGCGCCCUCUGGUAUUCCGGGGGGCAUGCCUGUUCGAGCGUCAUUAUAACCACUCAAGCUCUCGCUUGGUAUUGGGGUUCGCGGUUUCGCGGCCCCUAAAAUCAGUGGCGGUGCCUGUCGGCUCUACGCGUAGUAAUACUUCUCGCGAUUGAGUCCGAUAGGUCUACUUGCCAGUAACCCCCAAUUUUUACAGGUUGACCUCGGAUCAGGUAGGGAUACCCGCUGAACUUAA